rnacentral:rRNA from 1 species
UACGUAGGGUGCGAGCGUUGUCCGGAAUCAUUGGGCGUAAAGGGCGCGUAGGUGGCCCGCUCAGCGUGCGGUGAAAGCUCGGGGCUCAACCCCGAGUCGGCCGUGCGAACUGGUGGGCUGGAGCACUGUAGAGGCAGGCGGAAUUCCGGGUGUAGCGGUGGAAUGCGUAGAGAUCCGGAAGAACACCGGUGGCGAAGGCGGCCUGCUGGGCAGUUGCUGACACUGAGGCGCGACAGCGUGGGGAGCAAACAGG